AGCUCCAAUAGCGUAUAUUAAAGUUGUUGCGGUUAAAAAGCUCGUAGUUGGAUCUCGGCGGUCGAUCUGAGGUUCGGUAUUUGCCGACACUUCAGUUUUUGGCCGUGUUUUCGUUAGUUUUUGUCGGGUGCUCUUAACCGAGUGUUCGGCGAGUCUAACAUUUUUACUUUGAAAAAAUUAGAGUGCUCCAAGCAGGCUUUUCAGGCUUGAAUAUUAGUGCAUGGAAUAAUGGAAUAGGACGUCGAUUCUAUUUUGUUGGUUUUCUGAAUUAGACGUAAUGAUCAAUAGGGACAGUCGGGGGCAUUCGUAUUCAGACGACAGAGGUGAAAUUCUUGGACCGUCUGAAGACGAACGACUGCGAAAGCAUUUGCCAAGCAUGUUUUCAUUAAUCAAGAACGAA
rnacentral:rRNA from 1 species